GUCAACUUGUGGCCCAGUUCUGUGUGUCAAUUGGCCUCUAAGAAGUACCCAGCAGCCCCUGCUCAAAUCUCCUCUCCCCCUGUCCGGUGUGACCUGGGAGCCCUGUGACGCCGCUUUAUUGCUUAGGAAGUGAUGGUACACUGAAAUGUUCAGCGGUUUGCCCAUGGCCUCAGGAGAGCAAAGCUGGCCUGCCCACCUCACCGCACGACAGUGGGGUUCCCAGAGCAGUGUCCCAGGCUCCAAAAUGCUCUCUUUCUUGGUUUGACCUGUCUGCCACCAAAAGAUGAAACUCAACCAAGAGAACAUCAAGGAACCCCAGCUUCCUACCUCCACUCAUCAUUGCCAGCUGCAGCAGUCCCGAUCACGUGGUGGGGGCAACUAACAGGAUUCCGUCCAUCAGUGGCUCACCCACAGCUCCUGCAACCCCUUCCACCCUCGCGAAGGGCGCCCCCAGGUACCCAGGCGGCCAGCCGGGUGCUGGGGGUCAUUCUGGCAGUUCCCACCCUUUCCCUCACCUGACCACCACCCACUCACCCGGUCUCCCUGCCUCCCCUUCCUCAGGCCUGUGGAUUCCAGCUCUCUCCCGCCCUGUAUCCCCUCCACACACCCACUCCACAGCCCCGGCUGCACUGCUGUUUCCAGCUUCUCAACUUCUUUGAAAAAACAUUUUCA
rnacentral:lncRNA from 1 species